UAUNGCACAAUGGGCGCAAGCCUGAUGCAGCNAUGCCGCGUGUGUGAAGAAGGCCUUCGGGUUGUAAAGCACUUUCAGCGGGGAGGAAGGCGAUAAGGCUAAUAACCUUGUCGAUUGACGUUACCCGCAGAAGAAGCACCGGCCAACUCCGUGCCAGCAGCCGCGGUAAUACGGAGGGUGCAAGCGUUAAUCGGAAUUACUGGGCGUAAAGCGCACGCAGGCGGUCUGUCAAGUCGGAUGUGAAAUCCCCGGGCCCAACCUGGGAACUGCAUUCGAAACUGGCAGGCUAGAGUCUUGUAGAGGGGGGUAGGAUUCCAGGUGUAGCGGUGAAAUGCGUAGAGAUCUGGAGGAAUACCGGUGGCGAAGGCGGCCCCCUGGACAAAGACUGACGCUCAGGUGCGAGAGCGUGGGGAGCAAACAG
rnacentral:rRNA from 1 species